GGUUUGAACUGACAUAAUUUGAAAGCAGGGAAAUAAUGCUACCCUACAAGCCCUGAGCGAGUCAGAGCUGAGGUAAAGGACCAUGGCAGAGUUUACGUGAUCUUCGGAGGCCAGAGGAUCGAAAUUGGAGACUUGAAGACCCUCAAACACAUGAAGAGUGUUACUCUAAUAUUUAGCAAGGAAAAGAAAUGAAAACAACAAAGGACAAACCCGUACUGAAUACUGCAGGCAAUUGUAAUGCAAUGGUCCUUGGGAAGACACAAAACCAUCACCACUAGAAAAUGCCUUUGACCAAGCC
rnacentral:lncRNA from 10 species